GCGGACAGUGAACUGCGGAAGGACAUUAAUGAAAUUCUGACUGAGGUUGUCGCUGGCCCUUCACGGGGCAUGUGCACGCCUCUUUCACAAUCCACACACACCUGUGCACCUUUGCGUGAGCUUUUUGGGAGCGAGGCGGAAACGUCUCUAGUACCGGGAGGCUCGCGUCCUUUUCACAAACUCUUGUAUGUCUUCAGAAUGUCUUACUUUGAUGUUAUAAAACGCAUCUAAAUACAACUUUCAACAACGGAUCUCUUGGCUCUCGCAUCGAUGAAGAACGCAGCGAAAUGCGAUAAGUAAUGUGAAUUGCAGAAUUCAGUGAAUCAUCGAAUCUUUGAACGCACCUUGCGCCCUUUGGUAUUCCGAAGGGCACACCUGUUUGAGUGUCGUGAAAUUCUCAACCCUUCUCACUUUUGUGCUGAAGGGAUUGGACUUGGAGGCUUUGCCGGCUUUUGUUUCGGCUCCUCUCAAAUGCAUUAGUACGUCUCGUUGCGAUGUGCGCCUCGGUGUGAUAAUUAUCUACGCUGUGC
rnacentral:rRNA from 1 species